AUUGAACGCUGGCGGCAGGCCUAACACAUGCAAGUCGAGCGAGCGGCGGACGGGUGAGUAAUGUAUGGGGACCUGCCCGAUAGAGGGGGAUAACUACUGGAAACGGUGGCUAAUACCGCAUCCUAUCGGAGGAACCCAUAUGGGAUUAGCGAGGAGGUGGGGUAACGGCUCACCUAGGCCACGAUCCCUAGCGGGUGGGCGAGGAGGUCCAGCCACCCUGGAACUUAGACACGGCCCAGACUCCUACGGGAGGCAGCAGUGGGGAAUAUUGGACAAUGUGCGCAAGCCUGAUGCAGCCAUGCCGCGUGUAUGAAGAAGGCCUUCGGGUUGUAAAGUACUUUCAGCGAGGAGGCGUUACUCGCAGAAGAAGCACCGGCUAACUCCGUGCCAGCAGCCGCGGUAAUUC
rnacentral:rRNA from 1 species